GAGGGCAAUUUCACGCUACAGCUUGAAAGAAAACGUGUUCAGGAACUCACCUAUAACUGGCCGGUUCCUUCAGUUACAGGAUUGUGGGUGAUGAGGAGGUGCAGUCAGAGUCGCGUUGAGAGAACCUGAACAAUUCCUGUCAUUCUGUCGACAUUACCUAUCCACGCUCUCGCUCUCUAGUCGAGCGUCCGGCAAACGCAUUUCAUUUUCAGCCGCCACCGGGAAUUUAGCAGUUACAGUGCGUAAGAUUUCUUCGGGACGGCUCCUAAAUUAACUGACCAUUCGGAUCUAGAGUUCAGAGAUUGGUUUCAGACGCUAUGUAGCGCCAGCCUUAAAGAACAAAACCCGCAUGAGUUUUCAUUUAACGUAAAAAAGAAGGAACAAAGCAAAUUUAAGAAGAAAAACACCUAACUGGCGCCAGUUUCUUUCUCCAGCAAAACCCUAAUCUUUGCCAGUUUCUCUUUCCAGCAGCUACGUUCUUCAUCCUCCUCUUCAAUGCAGAAAAAGGAUGUACGUACAUUCCAUUCCACACAGGCAAUAACUGAAUGUUGAAUAACAUUUAACGAUCCCCUCCUGAACCUUAGGCUACAGCGAACAGAUGGCAGAGUAACUUGCUUGCAACUUGUAUGGGCAACUUCAUCAGCAACUUGCAAUACCUAUUCGGUUGAAGAAUUGGUAUGCUUUCUCACAAAGAGUUUGCUUAUGUCUUCCAUGAUAAUAUUGUUCCUUCCAGCUAGCCGAGGUGGGAGCAAACGACCAUCUACAGUAUCUGGAACAUUUUCCGAAUGAGAUAAGGUCCCUGGUCCCUUUUGGAACUUUACUACGAGGGUAGGUAGCAAAUGGUCCAUUUAAGUCUCUCUUUUGUGCUGCGCUUCUGCCAUAGCAGCUGCAACUCGGGAUGAGUAGUCUGAAGUAUUCAGUAGAUUAGACAACACAACGGGUGAAUUCAAGAGGAAUGAUGCAUCACGUAGUUUCAGCUCAGAGGACUGAAACUAUGCCCGUCCAUCCUCCUUUAUUCUCCUAAAAUGUUCCCUUCUAGAUUUCCUGUUUUUCUUUCUUUUCUGUUAAAGACUGUUGUUCCACCUCGUAAUCAUCCUCUUUUCUUCUUCUUUUCUCCCCCUUCUGAAGUUGUGGUAAAUUGUCGAUUACUUCAUUAUAAUGUAAUUUGUUGUAAUUAUUCUCGCAGUUUGCGAAUGAUUUGCUAAUCUCAUAAAUUGUGAA